rnacentral:rRNA from 1 species
GACGAACGCUGGCGGCGUGCUUAACACAUGCAAGUCGAACGGAAAGGCCCUGCUUUUGUGGGGUGCUCGAGUGGCGAACGGGUGAGUAACACGUGAGUAACCUGCCCUUGACUUUGGGAUAACUUCAGGAAACUGGGGCUAAUACCGGAUAGGAGCUCCUGCUGCAUGGUGGGGGUUGGAUAGUUUCGGCGGUUGGGUAUGGGCUCGCGGCUUAUCAGCUUGUUGGUGGGGUAGUGGCUUACCAAGGCUUUGACGGGUAGCCGGCCUGAGAGGGUGACCGGACACAUGGGGACUGAGAUACGGCACAGAGUCGUACGGGAGGCAGCAGUGGGGAAUAUUGCACAAUGGACGGAAGCAGGAUGCAGCAACGCCGCGUGCGGGAUGACGGCCUUCGGGUUGUAAACAGCAUUCGCCUGUGACGAAGCGUGAGUGACGGUAAUGGGUAAAGAAGCACCGGCUAAAUACGUG